GAUGAACGCUGGCGGUAUGCCUAACACAUGCAAGUCGUACGAGAGUUUUUAACUCUAGUGGCGGACGGGUGAGUAACACGUGAGAAUUUGCCUUUAGGAGGGGAUAACAAUUGGAAACGAAUGCUAAUACCCCAUAUGCUUUUGAGUGAAAUGGAUUUUAUCCGCCUAGAGAGAAGCUCGCGGCUGAUUAGCUUGUUGGUAAGGUAAGAGCUUACCAAGGCGACGAUCAGUAUCUGGUUUGAGAGGACGAUCAGACACACUGGAACUGAGACACGGUCCAGACUCCUACGGGAGGCAGCAGUGGGAAUCUUGCGCAAUGGGCGAAAGCCUGACGCAGCCAUGCCGCGUGAACGAUGAAGGCCUUAGGGUUGUAAGUUCUUUACCGUGACGAUGAUGACGGUAACGGGAGAAUAAGCUCCGGCUAACUUCGUGCCAGCAGCCGC
rnacentral:rRNA from 1 species